GUUAAGCGACUAAGCGUACACGGUGGAUGCCCUGGCAGUCAGAGGCGAUGAAGGACGUGCUAAUCUGCGAUAAGCGUCGGUAAGGUGAUAUGAACCGUUAUAACCGGCGAUUUCCGAAUGGGGAAACCCAGUGUGUUUCGACACACUAUCAUUAACUGAAUCCAUAGGUUAAUGAGGCGAACCGGGGGAACUGAAACAUCUAAGUACCCCGAGGAAAAGAAAUCAACCGAGAUUCCCCCAGUAGCGGCGAGCGAACGGGGAGCAGCCCAGAGCCUGAAUCAGUGUGUGUGUUAGUGGAAGCGUCUGGAAAGGCGCGCGAUACAGGGUGACAGCCCCGUACACAAAAAUGCACAUGCUGUGAGCUCGAUGAGUAGGGCGGGACACGUGGUAUCCUGUCUGAAUAUGGGGGGACCAUCCUCCAAGGCUAAAUACUCCUGACUGACCGAUAGUGAACCAGUACCGUGAGGGAAAGGCGAAAAGAACCCCGGCGAGGGGAGUGAAAAAGAACCUGAAACCGUGUACGUACAAGCAGUGGGAGCACGCUUAGGCGUGUGACUGCGUACCUUUUGUAUAAUGGGUCAGCGACUUAUAUUCUGUAGCAAGGUUAACCGAAUAGGGGAGCCGAAGGGAAACCGAGUCUUAACUGGGCGUUAAGUUGCAGGGUAUAGACCCGAAACCCGGUGAUCUAGCCAUGGGCAGGUUGAAGGUUGGGUAACACUAACUGGAGGACCGAACCGACUAAUGUUGAAAAAUUAGCGGAUGACUUGUGGCUGGGGGUGAAAGGCCAAUCAAACCGGGAGAUAGCUGGUUCUCCCCGAAAGCUAUUUAGGUAGCGCCUCGUGAAUUCAUCUCCGGGGGUAGAGCACUGUUUCGGCAAGGGGGUCAUCCCGACUUACCAACCCGAUGCAAACUGCGAAUACCGGAGAAUGUUAUCACGGGAGACACACGGCGGGUGCUAACGUCCGUCGUGAAGAGGGAAACAACCCAGACCGCCAGCUAAGGUCCCAAAGUCAUGGUUAAGUGGGAAACGAUGUGGGAAGGCCCAGACAGCCAGGAUGUUGGCUUAGAAGCAGCCAUCAUUUAAAGAAAGCGUAAUAGCUCACUGGUCGAGUCGGCCUGCGCGGAAGAUGUAACGGGGCUAAACCAUGCACCGAAGCUGCGGCAGCGACGCUGAUGCGUUGUUGGGUAGGGGAGCGUUCUGUAAGCCUGCGAAGGUGUGCUGUGAGGCAUGCUGGAGGUAUCAGAAGUGCGAAUGCUGACAUAAGUAACGAUAAAGCGGGUGAAAAGCCCGCUCGCCGGAAGACCAAGGGUUCCUGUCCAACGUUAAUCGGGGCAGGGUGAGUCGACCCCUAAGGCGAGGCCGAAAGGCGUAGUCGAUGGGAAACAGGUUAAUAUUCCUGUACUUGGUGUUACUGCGAAGGGGGGACGGAGAAGGCUAUGUUGGCCGGGCGACGGUUGUCCCGGUUUAAGCGUGUAGGCUGGUUUUCCAGGCAAAUCCGGAAAAUCAAGGCUGAGGCGUGAUGACGAGGCACUACGGUGCUGAAGCAACAAAUGCCCUGCUUCCAGGAAAAGCCUCUAAGCAUCAGGUAACAUCAAAUCGUACCCCAAACCGACACAGGUGGUCAGGUAGAGAAUACCAAGGCGCUUGAGAGAACUCGGGUGAAGGAACUAGGCAAAAUGGUGCCGUAACUUCGGGAGAAGGCACGCUGAUAUGUAGGUGAAGUCCCUCGCGGAUGGAGCUGAAAUCAGUCGAAGAUACCAGCUGGCUGCAACUGUUUAUUAAAAACACAGCACUGUGCAAACACGAAAGUGGACGUAUACGGUGUGACGCCUGCCCGGUGCCGGAAGGUUAAUUGAUGGGGUCAGCGCAAGCGAAGCUCUUGAUCGAAGCCCCGGUAAACGGCGGCCGUAACUAUAACGGUCCUAAGGUAGCGAAAUUCCUUGUCGGGUAAGUUCCGACCUGCACGAAUGGCGUAAUGAUGGCCAGGCUGUCUCCACCCGAGACUCAGUGAAAUUGAACUCGCUGUGAAGAUGCAGUGUACCCGCGGCAAGACGGAAAGACCCCGUGAACCUUUACUAUAGCUUGACACUGAACAUUGAGCCUUGAUGUGUAGGAUAGGUGGGAGGCUUUGAAGUGUGGACGCCAGUCUGCAUGGAGCCGACCUUGAAAUACCACCCUUUAAUGUUUGAUGUUCUAACGUGGACCCGUGAUCCGGGUUGCGGACAGUGUCUGGUGGGUAGUUUGACUGGGGCGGUCUCCUCCUAAAGAGUAACGGAGGAGCACGAAGGUUGGCUAAUCCUGGUCGGACAUCAGGAGGUUAGUGCAAUGGCAUAAGCCAGCUUGACUGCGAGCGUGACGGCGCGAGCAGGUGCGAAAGCAGGUCAUAGUGAUCCGGUGGUUCUGAAUGGAAGGGCCAUCGCUCAACGGAUAAAAGGUACUCCGGGGAUAACAGGCUGAUACCGCCCAAGAGUUCAUAUCGACGGCGGUGUUUGGCACCUCGAUGUCGGCUCAUCACAUCCUGGGGCUGAAGUAGGUCCCAAGGGUAUGGCUGUUCGCCAUUUAAAGUGGUACGCGAGCUGGGUUUAGAACGUCGUGAGACAGUUCGGUCCCUAUCUGCCGUGGGCGCUGGAGAACUGAGGGGGGCUGCUCCUAGUACGAGAGGACCGGAGUGGACGCAUCACUGGUGUUCGGGUUGUCAUGCCAAUGGCACUGCCCGGUAGCUAAAUGCGGAAGAGAUAAGUGCUGAAAGCAUCUAAGCACGAAACUUGCC
rnacentral:rRNA from 1 species